rnacentral:tRNA from 1 species
GGGUCCAUAGCUCAGCUGGAAGAGCACCUGUUUUGCACGCAGGGGGUCGAGGGUUCGAGUCCCUUUGGAUCCACCA